UUUGGCUUGUUGUUAUGAACAUUGUUCGUUUUAGCCAGUUUGAAGGUUUUUAGCAUGUGUAAUGGCAUGAAUGUGUUGAAUUAGUAAUCCCUUGUGUUAAGCCGUUGUUUUAGUGUUCUUUUGAUGAGUUUGGCUUGUUGUCAUGAAAAGUGUUUGUUUUGGCGAGUUUGAACGUUUUUGAUCAUGUGUAAUGGCAUGAAUGCGUUAAGCUGUUGUUUUAGUGUUCUUUUGAUGAGUUUGGCUUGUUGUUAUGAACAUUGUUCGUUUUGGCCAGUUUGAACGUGUUUUAGCAUGUGUAAUGGCAUGAAUGUGUUGAAAUAGUAAUCCCUUGUG